UGGCAAGUAAAGUAGGAGAAUCCAAGUCGUUAGUUCCUAAAAGCUUAAAAUUAUGGUUUAAACUUCAAAAGGCUGUGAUCUCGUAACUCUUGAGUUCCCAAUCCCCAGCCAAAUAACAGUUUCCUAGUAGGCCUCUGGUGGUUAAGGACAUGGGGGUCAAUGCUGUUUGGCCGAUUAACCUGUUUGCCAAGGACACUUAAUGAUUCACUGAAAGGAUUAUGGCGCAGCAAGCAAGGAUCACUUACCAAGUGAAAGCAAACUCUGCUGUCCGUUUGCCACAGAAUUUAUCCUUUACAGAUGGAUCCUAUAAUGAAGUGCCACCUGUUGCUGCUCUGUAGACCUUGCUAUGUAAAUAUCUCUGCAAUGCAGCCUUCCCUGCAAAACCCCUGUAUUCCUGCACUGAACGCAUGUUUGAAUACACAUCUAGUCCUGCACCUUCAAUUGAGCUAAAAUGAUGUAAAUAGAUGUCGGUGGUCGCAGAUAGCACAUGGUGCUAAACAUGCAACUGAAAUUCUAGGGAAAAAGCAACGAAAAGAGUUCUAACUGCUUCCCACGCCACCGUACCCAGCUCUUCCAGUAAUAAUAUGUAAGCCACAGAUGGAACUAUUGAAUGCUUUCAAAUCCUCCCCUCCUAAUCUUGAGAACACACGCAGUCACACACCCUCCCUGCAUACGCUCUGCCACU